GAUGAACGCUGGCGGCGUGCCUAAUACAUGCAAGUCGAGCGAACCACUUCGGUGGUGAGCGGCGAACGGGUGAGUAACACGUAGGUGAUCUGCCCAUCAGACGGGGACAACGAUUGGAAACGAUCGCUAAUACCGGAUAGGACGAAAGUUUAAAGGUGCUUCUGGCACCGCUGAUGGAUGAGCCUGCGGCGCAUUAGCUAGUUGGUAGGGUAAAGGCCUACCAAGGCGACGAUGCGUAGCCGACCUGGGAGGGUGAACGGCCACACUGGGACUGAGACACGGCCCAGACUCCUACGGGAGGCAGCAGUAGGGAAUCUUCGGCAAUGGGCGAAAGCCUGACCGAGCAACGCCGCGUGAAUGAUGAAGGCCUUCGGGUUGUAAAAUUCUGUUAUAAGGGAAGAACGACUUUAGUAGGAAAUGGCUAGAGUGUGACGGUACCUUAUGAGAAAGCCACGGCUAACUACGUGCCAGCCGCCGCCGUAAAAC
rnacentral:rRNA from 1 species